AUUAUUCCUUCUGCUGGUUUAAGUUUCCCGAUUAUUUAGCACUUUUUCUUCGGACAAGUGUUCAUUGUGACUUUUGAAUUUCGUAGGUAUCGAUUAUUCCAUCGUAAAAAUCAUAUGGCACUUAGAUUUAAUCACUUGUCGCUAGUACGUACGUAUUACUUUUUGUUUCCGGUGAAAUGAGCCAUUGACAGUAGGUGUCUCCCUCUAGAACAUUAUUGACUUUUGAAUGAUUGAAUUUCAAAACUAUUCUGACACUGAAAUGAAACACGGAAAGUCAAUCACAGCAGAAUUCAAAUAACUUUCUUCCAUAAUGUUGGAUUGACUAGCGAUCAAAAAAUGAUUAUCAAAUAAGACAAUAGACAAAAUGCUUCUUUGCUAUGGCAACGACUAAUUGUAGCUAUACUGAUAGCAGCAAUAACUACCAAGAUCUGCAAUGUGCGUCAAAUGAAUUUUGCUGUAUUGGUUCCUCGUUAAAUACUUGUUCUUCUACGAUAUGCUCAACCUCGGCAUCGAGCAGCAGUAGUUCUAGCAUUUCACCGACUCUAUUUUGGAGUAUACUUGGUGGACUAUUUGGAGCAGGAAUAUUACUCAUUUUCUUAAUGUAUAUCAUUUGCAAGUUCAAGUCAGCAAACAGUUGCU